AAUAAGAGUAUAUGGUGGAUGCCUUGACAUAAGAAGACGAUGAAGGACGUAGCAGCCUGCGAUAAGCCUCG
rnacentral:rRNA from 1 species